UGAGUGCGAGCUUCUACGGAAGCGAAGUUGGUGACGUCAAGCUUCUAAGAAAAGCCCUAUACCCGUUAAGGCAUGAUUACCUGUACCCGAAACCGACACAGGUGGGGUGGUAGAGAAUACCGAGGGGCGCGAGGUAACUCUCUCUAAGGAACUCGGCAAAAUGACCCCGUAACUUCGGGAGAAGGGGUGCCAGCGCGAGCUGGUCGCAGUGAAUAGGCCCAGGCGACUGUUUACCAAAAACACAGGUCUCCGCUAAGUCGCAAGACGAUGUAUGGGGGCUGACGCCUGCCCAGUGCCGGAAGGUUAAAGAAGUUGGUCAGCGCAAGCGAAGCUAACGACUGAAGCCCCGGUGAACGGCGGCCGUAACAAUAACGGUCCUAAGGUAGCGAAAUUCCUUGUCGGGUAAGUUCCGACCCGCACGAAAGGCGUAACGAUCUGGGCGCUGUCUCGGAGAGAGGCUCGGCGAAAUAGAAUUGUCUGUGAAGAUGCGGACUACGUGCACCCGGACAGAAAGACCCUAUGAAGCUUUACUGUAGCUUGGUACUGUGCUCGGGCUCGCAAUGCGCAGGAUAGGUGGGAGGCUUUGAUCCAUUGCUUGUGGGUGAUGGUGAGCCACUGGUGAGAUACCACUCUUUGCGAGCUAGGGUUCUAACGGUUACCCGUCAUCCGGGAACCGGACAGUAUCUGGUGGGCAGUUUGACUGGGGCGGUCGCCUCCUAAAGGUAACGGAGGCGCGCAAAGGUUUGCUCAGGCUGGUUGGAAAUCAGCCGACGAGUGUAAAAGCAGAAGCAAGCUUGACUGUGAGACCUACAAGUCGAACAGGGAGGAAACUCGGCUUUAGUGAUCCGACGGUUCUGAGUGGAAGGGCCGUCGCUCAACGGAUAAAAGUUACUCUAGGGAUAACAGGCUGAUCUCCCCCAAGAGUUCACAUCGACGGGGAGGUUUGGCACCUUGAUGUCGGCUCAUCGCAACCUGGGGCUGAAGUCGGUCCCAAGGGUUGGGCUGUUCGCCCAUUAAAGCGGUACGCGAGCUGGGUUCAGAACGUCGUGAGACAGUUCGGUCCAUAUCCGGUGCAUGCGCAGGAAUAUUGAGAGGAUUUCUCCCUAGUACGAGAGGACCGGGAGGAACGCACCUCUGGUGUACCAGUUAUCGUGCCAACGGUAAACGCUGGGUAGCCAUGUGCGGAGUGGAUAACCGCUGAAAGCAUCUAAGUGGGAAGCCCACCUCAAGAUGAGUAUUCCCAUGGCUUAAGCCAGUAAGGUCACGGGAAGAACACCCGUUGAUAGGCUCUAUGUGGAAGCGCAGUAAUGCGUGAAGCAGAGGAGUACUCAUAGACCGAGGGC
rnacentral:rRNA from 1 species